UACGGGGGGGCAAGCGUUGUUCGGAAUUACUGGGCGUAAAGGGCUCGUAGGCGGCCAACUAAGUCAGACGUGAAAUCCCUCAGCUUAACUGGGGAACUGCGUCUGAUACUGGAUGGCUUGAGUUCGGGAGAGGGAUGCGGAAUUCCAGGUGUAGCGGUGAAAUGCGUAGAUAUCUGGAGGAACACCGGUGGCGAAGGCGGCAUCCUGGACCGACACUGACGCUGAGGAGCGAAAGCCAGGGGAGCAAACGGGG
rnacentral:rRNA from 1 species